GGCUUUUCAUCACAGUAUCAUUUACACAGUAGACAUCUUAGUAACAAACCUUUAUUACAACAUUUCAUGGUUUUCCAUUUCUGGCAAUGAUUUGUGGCAAAGUAAUGCAGCUGCUGGGACUUUACAAAAAAGAAUAUGCAACAUUCUGAUCAGUGACAAGCGCUGAAUUUCUAGGAUUUAUGCCAUUCACACCCCCUACUCAUUUGAGAAAAAAAAAAAAAGUCAAAUGCCACCCUGAAUGAUUUGGUACAACUGUUGCCUCCAGUUGAGUAUCCCAGAUUAAAGUGGUUCCCGUUACCUUUGUCAUCGUACACAUACAAAACAAAGAUAACAAAAAGACUAUCAAUUUGCACUUUUGGCCAGUGAAUGGAGCUUCAAAACUGGGACAGAAAAAUAAGACACACAUGAUUUCUCG